GAUGAACGCUGGCGGCGUGCCUAAUACAUGCAAGUCGAGCGAACGGACGAGAAGCUUUCUUUUCUGAUUUUAGCGUCGGACGGGUGAGUAACACGUGGAUAACCUACCUAUAAGACUGGGAUAACUUCGUGAAACCGGUGCUAAUACCGGAUAAUAUUUUGAACCUCAUGGUUCAAAAGUUAAAGACGUUCUUGCUGUCACUUAUAGAUGGUUCCGCUCUGCAUUAGCUAGUUGGUGAGGUAACGGCUUACCAAGGCAACGAUGCAUAGCCGACCUGAGAGGGUGAUCGGCAACACUGGAACUGAGACACGGUCCAGACUCCUACGGGAGGCAGCAGUAGGGAAUCUUGCGCAAUGGGCGAAAGCCUGACGGAGCAACGCCGCGUGAGUGAUGAAGGUCUUCGGAUCGUAAAGCUCUGUUAUUAGGGAGGAACAGAUGUGUAAGUAAAUGUGCACAUAUUGACGGUACCUAAUCAGAAAGCCACGGCUAACUACGUG
rnacentral:rRNA from 1 species